rnacentral:rRNA from 2 species
AGAGUUUGAUCCUGGCUCAGGAUGAACGCUAGCUACAGGCUUAACACAUGCAAGUCGAGGGGCAGCAUGGUCUUAGCUUGCUAAGGCCGAUGGCGACCGGCGCACGGGUGAGUAACACGUAUCCAACCUGCCGUCUACUCUUGGACAGCCUUCUGAAAGGAAGAUUAAUACAAGAUGGCAUCAUGAGUCCGCAUGUUCACAUGAUUAAAGGUAUUCCGGUAGACGAUGGGGAUGCGUUCCAUUAGAUAGUAGGCGGGGUAACGGCCCACCUAGUCUUCGAUGGAUAGGGGUUCUGAGAGGAAGGUCCCCCACAUUGGAACUGAGACACGGUCCAAACUCCUACGGGAGGCAGCAGUGAGGAAUAUUGGUCAAUGGGCGAGAGCCUGAACCAGCCAAGUAGCGUGAAGGAUGACUGCCCUAUGGGUUGUAAACUUCUUUUAUAAAGGAAUAAAGUCGGGUAUGGAUACCCGUUUGCAUGUACUUUAUGAAUAAGGAUCGGCUAACUCCGUGCCAGCAGCCGCGGUAAUACGGAGGAUCCGAGCGUUAUCCGGAUUUAUUGGGUUUAAAGGGAGCGUAGAUGGAUGUUUAAGUCAGUUGUGAAAGUUUGCGGCUCAACCGUAAAAUUGCAGUUGAUACUGGAUAUCUUGAGUGCAGUUGAGGCAGGCGGAAUUCGUGGUGUAGCGGUGAAAUGCUUAGAUAUCACGAAGAACUCCGAUUGCGAAGGCAGCCUGCUAAGCUGCAACUGACAUUGAGGCUCGAAAGUGUGGGUAUCAAACAGGAUUAGAUACCCUGGUAGUCCACACGGUAAACGAUGAAUACUCGCUGUUUGCGAUAUACGGCAAGCGGCCAAGCGAAAGCGUUAAGUAUUCCACCUGGGGAGUACGCCGGCAACGGUGAAACUCAAAGGAAUUGACGGGGGCCCGCACAAGCGGAGGAACAUGUGGUUUAAUUCGAUGAUACGCGAGGAACCUUACCCGGGCUUAAAUUGCAGAUGAAUUACGGUGAAAGCCGUAAGCCGCAAGGCAUCUGUGAAGGUGCUGCAUGGUUGUCGUCAGCUCGUGCCGUGAGGUGUCGGCUUAAGUGCCAUAACGAGCGCAACCCUUGUUGUCAGUUACUAACAGGUUCCGCUGAGGACUCUGACAAGACUGCCAUCGUAAGAUGUGAGGAAGGUGGGGAUGACGUCAAAUCAGCACGGCCCUUACGUCCGGGGCUACACACGUGUUACAAUGGGGGGUACAGAGGGCCGCUACCACGCGAGUGGAUGCCAAUCCCCAAAACCUCUCUCAGUUCGGACUGGAGUCUGCAACCCGACUCCACGAAGCUGGAUUCGCUAGUAAUCGCGCAUCAGCCACGGCGCGGUGAAUACGUUCCCGGGCCUUGUACACACCGCCCGUCAAGCCAUGGGAGCCGGGGGUACCUGAAGUGCGUAACCGCGAGGAGCGCCCUAGGGUAAAACUGGUGACUGGGGCUAAGUCGUAACAAGGUAGCCGUACCGGAAGGUGCGGCUG